rnacentral:rRNA from 1 species
GACGUAGGGCGCGAGCGUUGUCCGGAUUUAUUGGGCGUAAAGAGCUCGUAGGCGGCUUGUCGCGUCGUCCGUGAAAACCUGCAGCUCAACUGCAGGCUUGCGGGCGAUACGGGCAGGCUAGAGUUCGGUAGGGGAGACUGGAAUUCCUGGUGUAGCGGUGAAAUGCGCAGAUAUCAGGAGGAACACCGGUGGCGAAGGCGGGUCUCUGGGCCGAUAUUGACGCUGGAGGAGCGAAAGCGUGGGGAGCGAACAGG